rnacentral:lncRNA from 1 species
CAAUUUUUCUCCCUUUACAGAAUAUCGUGGAGUUCACGUUCUAUGAUGCAAACAUUGUGCUGAGAAGUCAUGCUGCCUCCAUUGCUUUCGAUGUGGCAAAUAUUACACCAGGCCAGACUUUUAAUCACACAUUUGUGCUCAGUCACCAGCACAGAUCCCCCCACUGAGGUCAUCACCAAUGGUGUUUUGGUGGCUCACCCUUGUCUGUGUGUCCAAGGCACUGUGGAUAAAAGUGAGAAAAGCCAGUGGUUAAUACAGGGUAAGUCUACCUGUGCUUUGUCAUGCCCCAUCCUCUUGAGGGUCUGCAUGCGGAGCAAUAGGGAGGAAUCUACUUC